rnacentral:lncRNA from 1 species
AAGUCCCAAGAUGACCUACCUUCAGGUACAGCGGGAUCCAGGGGUUCCAACAGUGAGGCCAAGGAGCAGCCUCUCAUUACUGCUUAGCUCAGUGUCCUUCUGGUUAUUGGCUCCAGCCCAAGGGAAGACUCUGGUCACCAGACUCACAUGUUUUCCAGGUUGUUAACUUCCAAUACCCAUUUAGCAAUCCAGGUAAGACUUUGAGCGGCCUCGCUUAGAACAGACAACUACACCUGGAUCAACCACUGUUGCUCGGGGGCCCAGAGCAUUGCGAUUGGCUACUCUGGAGUUACAUGACCUACCCUGUGGUCAGGAAGGGGAUGCUGGUGGAUGUGGAGACUGGUAGCUCUGCUGGGGAUGACAUAGAAUAAAGAAGAGAGUUAUCCAAAGUCAGGAGGGGUGUUGGACUGACAGAAACAAAGGAUAUCUACCCCACAUGGACACCCCUAGAGAACGAAAGUACUUGCUUCUGGUUCUUGCUUAGGUCUCUCUCUGAGUCAGUGCUAGUCCUGGGACAGUUGUUCUAAGGUCAUCAGGUGAAUUCUGUCAGUUCAGAGAUAAAUAUAGCUUCCAAGCCAAGGAACAUGACUUGCAAAAGAAGGAAGAGUUGCUGCUGAGCUGUGUGAAUCUGAACUGUGAGUAGAAGCCCCAGGCUAUAUCUGUCUCUUUGGCUUAGAACAGAUGGGACCCAGGCAACUUUUCACUCAACCAGCUGGGUUGUACGGAUAUCUCAUGCUCUGCUUGCUUUUAGGUCAGUGCCAUGCACACCAGGAUACGUGGAAUGUGAUGCUCGUGUACUGUGUUAACUUGAAGUUAAGGAAGUUAGGAUUUGCCUUUGCAAACUGGUAAGUGUGAGUGAAUCGUGCACGUCUGUGUUCAACAAGGAAAGGAAACACCAGGAUUGCAGGAGACACGAAACGAGUAAGAGUUUGCUGACUCCCAACACAGGUCCUCUUCGUGCGAGCAAAGGCUGGCUUUCCUGGAAAACUGGCUUCCUUCAGAACUCUGGUCCACUCUGAUACCAAACGUGGAUGCUUGUGGAAUUUGCCAGUUAUUGGGCUGAGGGGACCCUUCCCCUGGCGAAGCAGAAAAGCAUCAAACAAAAGUUUCCUCUGUGCCUGUGGGCUACCCGCCUACCUCUGCCGUGACACCAGCCACAUCCUCAUGCCUUAACGUUAACAGGUUGUCUGCAGUCCCUUGUGGGGUUCUAAGACUCAAUCCAUAGACUCAUGCAUGUUUUGAGAGCCCCAGAAUCAAAGCUGGAGAGGUGACUUUAGGAGAUUAACAGUCAUGAUUUAUUGUCCAAACCAGAACCUUUUGAGAGUGAAAGGGCGUGCUAUUAGUCAUGAUUCCAGGACUACAGGUGUUGGGUGGCACAUUUGGUCUUCUCAAUAUUUAUUGAGCCCUUGUUAGUAAUUUAACUCAUCCUUUAAUACAGUCUUCCCUUGAAUCCUCAUAAUAACUGUAUUGACUAGACAGUAUUCCCAUUUUACAGAUGAUGAGGGUUGAAGGAGUAGUUCAUGUACAGUGACGACUCUAUAGUUGUGCCCUGGUAAGAGCAGGCAUGAGAAGGAAUUUGGACUGAAGUCUUAUGCCAAAAUGGAUGUACCUUGCACUACAGUAUGUGGUUUCUUACCUAUAAUUCAGUGAUUUUUUCCUUUUUUCUAAAAAAAGACCUAGGUUCUAAGGAGACAUAAGAUGCUAGUUAGCUACCAAGACACUCCUGAAGGCAAGGGGAAGACCAUCAAAAGAGCAACUCCAUCUUCAUGUUUAAGAUAUUGGCCAAGUGGAUGAAACUUCAUUUACUGGGAGGAAGGGGAUUUCUACUAUUUGAAAUUAAAAAAUAGGAAGAAAGAUUGAAGAAGAAAAAGGAGAAGAAGAGAAAGGAAAAGAGGAAGAUGGAAAGAGAGGAAGAGAAGGAAGGAAGAAAGGAAAAUAGGAAGGAAAUGAGAGAGGCAGGGAAAGAUCAUCGUUGCACUUUAAGCCCCUGGGUUUGAAACUGCAAAGUGGAGUCCCAGAGAGAGAGAGUCCCAUAUCCAAUGUCACACAGCAAAUCAAACAGAGGGGAAACAAUGAUCUGAAAAGACGAGUCUUUUGAUUUUCAAUCCAUGUGCUUUUCGCCACACUUUCCUGGGUAGCAAGCAUUAUGUUGAGAGGAAGUACUGCCAGUUGGAACUAUUUUCUUAUUUCACCUCAUUUUGACACUGUGGUGAAUUGCUGGUCCUUAGGGAAGCUUUUCUUUAGAAAGAGGGAUUAAGCUGCUUUUAAAUAUUGAGGAGGAAAAGCUGUCACAGUUUUCAGAUAUACGAUGGAAGAGAUUUUAAAUAGAGACAAGUGUGUGCAUGUUGAAUUCUGUUGUCUUUCUUAGCAGAAAGACACGUCAUAUUCUUGAAAUGCCUUCCUUUUUUCAUCACCAUAGUCCUGGACUAUUUGAAGAAAAUUAAAUGAUAGUUUCAGGUUUGAAAGUGGAGAAAGCUUCACUGAGCUCUCAGUCAAGUUGGAUCAGGAGACUGGAGUGGGAAAGGGGGCCUUAGUCAGAUGUACAGUAUGGGGUGAGGGAAUUUAUAAGGAUGAAAACACAACAGGGAUUUAAGGAGUCAUACCCCACCCCCCUGCAGCCCCCUACAAAGGACUUUCUGGUGGCAGAUUAACCCAAGGGAGGGUGUCUUCUAAGAGUAGAGUCAGUCUGGAGGGACAAGGGGGAAUCUCUCAAUAUACAAAUCUUUCAGAUCCACCCCAACUUUCUUGGAACCGCUUCCACUUUUAUGAAGGACCUACUAUGUCCUGGGGACUCUUCCAAGCACUUUACACAGGUUAAUUCAUUUAAUCUUCACUGUGAGGUUGCCACUGUUUUUAUUCUAAAGGUCAAAUAGCUAAUAAGUGCUGGAGCUGGAAUUCGGACUGAAGAGAUUCAGUUUCAAGUCUAUGUCCUCAACCCCAUGCCACACUCACUCUGAAAUUUCCAGGCAUCAGCUGGAGUCAUGCUGGAGGCUCAGGCCACCCACAACCCUGCAGGGUGAUGCUCCUUAGUAGGAGAUGAGGCUGAAGGGCUGGACGGUGGGCAUUUCCUUUUCUUCUUUGACAUGGUUUUCCUUAAUCUUUGCUCUUGAGGCUUGACCUCAGUGUGUUUGGGAAGUGGGAAGACAAGGAGUAGUCACAGGGGCCGUCAGUAAGCCCGUUCUCCAGCAGAUCUCUCCAGACUCUUCCAUGUACUUUGCAGUUUGGGUUAGAGGGUCAGAAUGCCUGGUGCCUGAGUUCUUCUGUCCAUGAGCUUUGAGCCCUGUGGGUGAUGCUCUUCUCUGGGCUGAAUCUCAGUAGGGUGUUCUAAACACUGACUUCCUGAGUAAACUUGGUUAAACUUUCUAAACCAGAAACACGAUAACUUAAAAAUCCUCUAGUUUUAGUCUUCUAUAACCAUGUAUUCUAGGAAAUUUGGGAGCCAAUGUUUCAAGAAAGAUAGCUCAAAAGAGGAACAGAUGUGAGUAGAUGGAAGAUCAUGAUCAAAGAAGUGUGGAGUCAGAAGGGGAGAAAAGACAAUUAGGUAUUUCUCCCCAAAAGACUAUCCCUGUUAAAACUACAUAUUGAGUGACUUGAUGAACACGUGAUUUCAUGCAACUUUUUGGAAUCCAUCUAUUGCCUAAACCCAUGAAAAAAAGAGAAAAUGUGGGUGCAUAUUAUACUGUUAUGCCCCAGUGAAGCUCGGCUGGCUCUUUGGGACUCCUUAAGUAAGCUUGCUCUUCAUGCAUGGUUCUACCUGUGAUUGGGAGUCCCAGAGCAUUUUCCUCCCCAGGGAUUGCUCUUUAUCUCUCAGUCUUGCAGUGAUUGACUUGCAGGUAUAGAAAACAGAACCCACACUUUUGAGAUGGAGACUAAGCAUUCUACAGUAAGUUCUAGUCAUUAAAACUGCUUUAAAUACCCAGGAUUACUGCAAAAGGGUUAUAGAGAGAAAAGAAAAGAGUUCUGUUCUCUGUUGCUUUAUGGCCAAAUGGUUUCUCACUGUUGCCCAUAAAAUAAAACAAUUAUACAUACACA